GAGGCAGUCCCAUCCCCCCUCCCGUCUCAGUGGAUCAUGCCCAGGGCAGCAGCACUGCAGUUGGGUUGGGGGGGCAGUACUGGCACAGGAGAGUUGCUGUUUCCAGUCACAACACAGGGAUCACAGCAAACACAGCCGCCACAGAAGCACUAUGGCAUCACUUCUAUCAGCUUAGCAGCUCCCAAGGAGAUAGACUGUAUACUCAUGCAGAAACUAAUUGAGACUCUGAAGCCCUUUGGGGUUUUUGAAGAGGAAGAGGAACUGCAGCACAGGAAUUUAAUUCUGGGAAAACUAAAUAACCUGGUAAAAGACUGGAUACAAGAAAUCAGUGAAAGCAAGAAUCUUCCACAAUCUGUAAUUGAAAAUGUUGGAGGAAAAAUUUUUACAUUUGGAUCUUACAGAUUAGGAGUGCAUACAAAAGGUGCAACAAUAUUGAUGUCUUGUGUGUUGCACCAAGAUGUGUUGACCGAAGUGACUUUUUCACCUCAUUCUGUGAUAAGUUGAAAUUACAGGAAGAAGUAAAAGAUUUAAGAGCUGUUGAAGAGGCAUUUGUACCAGUUAUCAAGUUCUCUUUCGAUGGGAUAGAGAUUGAUAUUUUAUUUGCAAGAUUAGCACUGCAGACUAUUCCAGAAGAUUUGAAUCUGUGAGAUGACAGUCUGCUUAAAAACUUAGAUAUAAGAUGUAUAAGGAGUCUUAGCAGUUGCAGGAUAACCGAUGAAAUUUUGCAUCUAGUACCAAACAUUGACAACUUCAGCUGAACUCUCAGAACUAUCAAACUAUGGGCCAGACACCACAACAUCUAUUCCAAUGUAUUAGGUUUCCUUGGUGGUAUUUCCUUAUCCAAAUGCAAUAGCAUCAACUCUUGUACAUACAUUUUUCUUGGUAUUUUCUAAAUGGAAUGUGUUUAGAUUAUAUUGAAGUAAAAUCGAUUA